GAGGGAGAGCAUGAGUGGGGGAGAGGCGGGGAGAGAGGGAGACACAGAAUCCAAAGCAGGCUCCAGGCUCUGAGCCAUCAGCACAGAGCCUGACGCGGGGCUUGAACCCACAAACCGUGACAUCACGACCUGAACCAAAAUCAGAUGCUCAACCGACUGAGCCACCCAGGUGCCCCAAAAGGUGAGUUAAUUUUAAAAAAUAGGUAAAUGCUUGUUCAUCUGGCACAGUGAUAGAAGAAAAAUCAUAAAGGGGGUUCACAAAUGACUAAAAUUUGAGGAACAUUGAUCUAAUAAGACUCUUUAUAUUAGUAGUGAAGAAACUGAGGUCAAGAAACAGACCUGGGACUUGAACCAGAUCCUCGGAGCUCCAGGUGGUGCUCCUCUGAGCAGCCAGGGCUUUCUCCCUUCGUUGGGCAACCUACACUAGAAGAACUUUCCAUUGUCACCUUGAGAAUCUGGGUAGCUGCUGAGUAGCCACCAGUCCAAGAAAAAUGAGGAGGUUCAUGGAGUCAACCCAAACCCAACCUGUACCUGGAGCCCAACCUGAAAGAGCCACAGAUGAUCCACAGAACUGUGAGGCAGAAACAUCAGUGUAUAAACGUGUACAUGAGCGAGAGUUACUUGGAUGGUCUGUUGCUGGCAGCCAAAGGCACCCUAACUGAGGCAGAAACAAUUACAUAUGGAGACAGUGAAAGGAAAGCCGAACCCCCGAGUGCCAGUGCAGCAAAACAAGGCUGGAGUUGCCCUUCCCCUGGAGGAGAGGGACGCUUUUGGGAAGCCAACCAAAGGCAGUGAGGGACUGAGGACCGUCCCGGAGGAGAAGUACAAAUAACACGGUUAGCCUGGGCCGGAUCCGCUGAAACCAAAAGUGGGGGAAAAGGCAGGUGUGGCAUAUGCUGUUUGCUCACCACCACGGAGACAAUUGACCGAACUUGGUUUGGAUUCUGAGAUGGCCAAGUGACAGGGCUGGAGCUUAAGCUUUCGAUAUCCUAAAGAGAGGAUUUUAUAUGGUUUUAGAACAUGGUCCGAAAGGGGGUACUUUAUUCACUCACUGUAGUAUAUAUUCGUCACUUAUUAUGGAACGAGUGCCGGCCAGGUGUAUCUGGAGACACAGCAGUGAGGGAGGUUUCACAGUCUCUGUUCUCAUGCAUUCUAGUUGGGGGAGGUGGAGGACAAGAUCAGGUGGCAACUAAACACAGAGACCUGGGUGGUGAGAAAGAGCUGGUUGUGCAAAGACCUGG